GUGCUGAUAGCUCAGUCAGUACAGCACGAGACUCUGAAUCUCAGGGUCGUGGGUUCGAGCCCCACGUUGGACG